UUUGGAUCAGCCUAGUUUUUAGGCACCAAGGUGAACAUGAGGGGUUACAUAUAAUUGACCAGGAGAAUAUGUGGCGUUACACAUGAUGGAUGGAUUAGAGGUCAUACACACGUCAUGCUGGGCCCCACAUCACGUUGUACGUCAAGCUUAACCGACAAAGCUGUGUACCAGAGAUCUGGCCCCUCUCAGAACUCCAUCUGAUUGAGAACAAUAACUGAUGGGAUCGUUCCCAACAAGAAACCUCAUCCUCGAAGUGCCACUAAAUUCGAUUUUGGCCAUCCUUCAGAUACGCCACUAAUUUAAUAGAAAUUGAUGAAUUUUCCCCACAUUUACAGCUUAUCCGUCUCUCUUCACUUCAUUUUAUAACCAAAAUCGCUUCUGCUUGUAAGAAGCAACGAAAACCCUCCAAUCUUGGAUCCCCAAGACAGAUCUACAGCCAUAACUCCAUGACGAUCUCUCAAACAUAAAACAAUCCUAAGACAGAAUUUGGAUAUCCCGAAAAUGGCCAGGACGAUAAACUGCCUCCCGGCCUCAAACCAAUAACCAGAACGUUCAGAUCCGCCCUAAAAA